CUUGCUCCUGNACNCGCGGCGGACGGGUUUUAUUACACGUGGGCCACCUGCCUGUAAGACUGGGAUAACUUCGGGAAACCGGGGCUUAUACCGGAUAAUUCUUUUCCUCACAUGAGGAAAAGCUGAAAGAUGGUUUCGGCUAUCACUUACAGAUGGGCCCGCGGCGCAUUAUCUAUUUGGUGAGGUAACGGCUCACCAAGCCACGAUGCGUAUCCCACCUGAGAGGGUGAUCGGCCACACUGGGACUGAACACGGCCCAGACUCUUACGGGAGGCAGCAGUAGGGAAUCUUCCGCAAUGGACGAAAGUCUGACGGAGCAACGCCCCGUGAGUGAUGAAAGUUUUCGGAUCGUAAAACUCUGUUGUCAGGGAAAAACAAGUACCCGAGUAACUGUCGGUCCUUGACGGUGCCUGACCACAAAGCCACGGCUAACUACGUGCCACCAGCCGCGGUAAUACGUAUGUGGCAAGCGUUGUCCGGAAUUAUUGGGCGUAAAGCGCGCGCACGCGGUUCCUUAAAUCUGAUGUGAAAACCCCCGGCUCAACCGGGGAGGGUCAUUGGAAACUGGGGAACUUGUGUGCACAAAAGAAAAGAGUAAUUCCACGUGUAGCGCUGAAAUGCGUAUAGAUGUGGAGGAACACCCCUGGCGAAAGCGACUCUUUGGUCUGUAACUGACACUCUGGCGCGCAAACGUGUGGAGCAAACACGAUUAUAUACCCCUGGGAGUCCCCACCCCUAAACAAUGAGUGCUAAUGUGUUAGAAGGGUUUCCCCCCUUUAUUUGCUGCCAGCAAAACGCAUUUAAACACUCCUCCCCUUGGGGAGUUCGCCCCCCCCGCGGGUUUUUAACUUAAAAUGGAAUUUGCGGGGGGCCCCCACAAACCGGGGGGGGUUUUGUUUUUUUUAAUUUUUCACGAAACCCCGCAAAAAAUCCUUUUCCCGGGGUUUUUUGAAUUUUUCCUGUCGAACCCCCUGAAAAUAAGUGGGGUUUGCC
rnacentral:rRNA from 1 species